UAUGUUGUUGUCACCGGGAGGACCGUGCAGUUGCGUUUGUUGAUGUCUGCAGAGUUUUGCCGAUUUAUAAGGCCACU
rnacentral:pre_miRNA from 1 species